CACAUAAUACUGUAUAGAAAUUCAGGAACGUACUUUUAUUGACAAUGUCAAAAACUCUAAUCUGACUAGCGUUGACUGUUGUUUAAUUGUUUUCAAGGUGAAAACUGACUAAACAAUUAAAACUGCUUAAAAUGUCCCUCUUAAAGACCCAUGAAAUAAUUUAGAAACGUUUUGAACUUUCGUCAUGGUUUGUGCUGAAAAAACAAAUAAUUUCAAGAGAAUAUAGAGAGUCAAAGCAAGCAAGUAUACAAAUUUUAGUAAAUUUAAAAUACAGGGAUAUACAAUAAUAUAACCUAAAUAACCGGUGCCAAAAUGGAGCCCUCAAACUAGAUGACUUACUUAAAAACUAGACACUAGAGAUAAAAAUAUUAAACUAAAUUCGCUCUAGUCGAUUAAUCCUAUAUUGCGGCAGGUUAAAUCGUAAAGUGGAACAAUAGAACAAAUGGGGAAGAGCACUAGCAUUGUAGAGGAUUAAGUUAGUAUGCAUUGACGAAGCCUGGGAAUAAAAAUUGAAAUUGCCAUCCAAAAUUGGGGGUGGUAAAAAUAGGACUGUAUGGAAUGAGACGAAUCAUUUGAAGCAUAUGAAAUAGUCUAUUGCUAUUUUAGAUAAAAGGCUUUUUUGAAAAUCAACUAUUUUACAUGUUAAUUUAUUUCGCAAGCAGCAGCAAGUAUCCCACAACCAAUCGUAUUAACUAGUGUCAUCCUAGUUAGGAGAAGGACGUAAAAACCUUAUUAGAAAAAUACUGGGGGCAAAUUAGAAAGCAAUAGAAGCACUAAAAUACU